rnacentral:rRNA from 1 species
UGGGGAAUAUUGCACAAUGGGGGAAACCCUGAUGCAGCGACGCCGCGUGAACGAAGAAGGUAUUCGUAUCGUAAAGUUCUGUCCUAUGGGAAGAUAAUGACAGUACCAUAGAAGAAAGCUCCGGCUAAAUACGUGCCAGCAGCCGCGGUAAUACGUAUGGAGCGAGCGUUGUCCGGAAUUAUUGGGCGUAAAGGGUACGCAGGCGGUUUAAUAAGUCGAAUGUUAAAGAUCGGGGCUCAACCCCGUAAAGCAUUGGAAACUGAUAAACUUGAGUAGUGGAGAGGAAAGUGGAAUUCCUAGUGUAGUGGUGAAAUACGUAGAUAUUAGGAGGAAUACCAGUAGCGAAGGAGACGUUCUGGACACAAACUGACGCUGAGGUACGAAAGCGUGGGGAGCAAACAGG